rnacentral:rRNA from 1 species
AUUCGACUAAACCAUGCGAGGCGAGAGGGGUUAAGCCCUCGCCGCACUGCUGAGUAACACGUAGUUAACUUGCCCUUAGGUGGGGAAUAAUCUUGGGAAACUGAGGCCAAUGCCCCAUAGGUUUUGGAUACUGGAAUGUUCCAAAACUGAAAGAUCCGUCGCCUAAGGAUAGGACUGCGGCCUAUCAGGCUGUUGUCAGGAUAAAAACCUGACAAACCUAUAACGGGUAGGAGCCAUGAGAGUGGGAGCUUCCAGAUGCCUUCUGAGACAUGAAGGCAGGGCCUACGGGUCGCAGCAGGUGCGAAAACUUUCCAAUGCGUUCACGCGUGAGAAGGGAACUUUGAGUGGUUAUACUUUGUAUAAUCUUUUCUUCAGUUUAGAGUGCUGGAGGAAUAAGCGAUGGGCAAGACGGGUGCCAGCCGCCGCGGUAAUACCCGCGUCGCAAGUGGUGGUCACGAUUAUUGGGCCUAAAGCGUCCGUAGCCGGCUCAGCAAGUUUCUGGUGAAAUCCUGCAGCUAACUGCAGGGCUGCUGGGGAUACUACUGAGCUUG